UAGUUGAACAGUUUCAAUUUG
ensembl:piRNA 21ur-5102 ncRNA